CAAAAACAUUUUUUAAUGAAAUAAUAUUAAAUAAAGUCUGCUCAAUGAAAUAAAUAGCCGCAGAAAAUUUACUGUGCUAAGGUAGCAUAAUCAUUUGUCUUUUAAUUAAAGACUAGAACGAAUGGCUUAACAAUUAAAUAAUUUUUUUCCCUAUAAAAUUUUAAUUUAACUUAAGCAUAAAAAUCUGCUUAUAAAUAUAAUAGACGACAAGACCCUAUUGAACUUAACUGAUGUUAAGCUGGGGAAGCUAAAUAAUAAUUAUUUUAUUAAUUUAUUUAUAAUAAAAACCCAAUAAGUAAAUAUAAUCAAGUUACCAUAGGGAUAACAGCGUAAUAAUUUUCUAAAGCUCUUAUUUAAAAAAAAGUUUACGACCUCGAUGUUGAAUUAAUUUUCCUUUCUAGCGCAAGCGCUAGAAAAGUAAGUCUGUUCGACUUUACAAAAAUUACAUGAUCUGAGUUAAAACCGGAGA
rnacentral:rRNA from 1 species